GACGAACGCUGGCGGCGUGCUUAACACAUGCAAGUCGAACGGAAAGGCCCUGCUUUUGUGGGGUGCUCGAGUGGCGAACGGGUGAGUAACACGUGAGUAACCUGCCCUUGACUUUGGGAUAACUUCAGGAAACUGGGGCUAAUACCGGAUAGGAGCUCCUGCUGCAUGGUGGGGGUUGGAAAGUUUCGGCGGUUGGGGAUGGACUCGCGGCUUAUCAGCUUGUUGGUGGGGUAGUGGCUUACCAAGGCUUUGACGGGUAGCCGGCCUGAGAGGGUGACCGGCCACAUUGGGACUGAGAUACGGACCAGACGCCUACGGGAGGCAGUAGUGGGGAAUAUUGCACAAUGGGCGGAAGCCUGAUGCAGCAACGCCGCGUGCGGGAUGACGGCCUUCGGGUUGUAAACCGCUUUCGCCUGUGACGAAGCGUGAGUGACGGUAAUGGGUAAAGAAGCACCGGCUAACUACGUG
rnacentral:rRNA from 1 species